rfam:Nicotiana attenuata strain TT chromosome 1, whole genome shotgun sequence.
UGGACAGAUUAUUGUAUUCGACUGUAUUGACUGUAUUCACAGCGUGAAACAUGGGAUUACAUUAUUUUUAAACGGAAAGUGAAUCAAUUAACAUAAUAGACUCCU